rnacentral:rRNA from 1 species
AUGACUAAACCGAAAAGAGUAGGAGGGAUCGGCUUUUGAGAUAUGCAUUGCUUCAACCAGGCCCUCCUCGCCAAGCAAGGAUGGCGGCUCAUUCGGAAUCCUAAUAGCCCAUGUCCAAGAGUCCUCAAGUCAAAAUACUACCCCAAUGGGAAUUUACCGGACACUGUGUUUGCAUGUGAUGCCUCGCCCGUGUGGAGAGCAAUAGAGUUUGGCCUGGAACUUCUAAAGAAAGGGAUAAUAUGGUGGGUUGGGGAUGGAAAGGACAUUCAAAUACAACGAGAUCAGUGGAUCCCUCGAAAGGAAGGCCUUAUGACAGCAAAAUUUAUCAGAAGAUCGAGACUCGGGUGGGUAAACCAACUCAUGAUGUCUAAUAGAAAGGAGUGGAAUGCGGCGCUAAUUUGUCAAAUAUUCUAUUGA